AACGAACGCUGGCGGCAGGCCUAACACAUGCAAGUCGAGCGCUCACCUUCGGGUGGGAGCGGCGCACGGGUGAGUAACACAUGGGAACCUACCUUGAAGUACGGAAUAACUGAGGGAAACUUCAGCUAAUACCGUAUACGCCCUACGGGGGAAAGAUUUAUCGCUUCAGGACGGGCCCGCGUUGGAUUAGCUAGUUGGUGAGGUAAUGGCUCACCAAGGCAACGAUCCAUAGCUGAUUUGAGAGAAUGAUCAGCCACACUGGGACUGAGACACGGCCCAGACUCCCACGGGAGGCAGCAGUGGGGAAUAUUGGACAAUGGGCGCAAGCCUGAUCCAGCCAUGCCGCGUGAGUGAUGAAGGCCUUCGGGUUGUAAAGCUCUUUCAGAUGGGACGAUGAUGACGGUACCAUCAGAAGAAGCCCCGGCUAACUUCGUGCCAGCAGCCGCGGUAAUAC
rnacentral:rRNA from 1 species